UUUCCAUCUUCAACACACAAGCCGGCCUAUCCACAGGGAAAGAAAGUGGAACCGAGGCUUCGCGGCUGCGGGAGGAGGGAGGCAGAGUCACUAUUUACCGGGCACGGAGUUUCUGUGGCGGGGAAGCCUGGGAGACCUGCUCUGCCGAACGUGGUCCAAAUCCUCAUGGAGACAGGCGCACCAGAUCCUGCACCCAGGAGCUGGGACGCCGCUGGCAUGGGCCUGCUUAGGACUGUUCAGCAUCUCCUCACGCCAUUGCCCGACCCGCUAAUCAGCUUGAGGAGAAAGGAGAGAGGAAAUGCCGUCCUUUGACAAGAUGUGGGAAACCACCUCGGUUUGUACUUGGUGUGGCUGUGACCGGCAAACAAAGAACCCUCCCCGGCUCUGGGGCCAAGUUUCCAAUAAACUUUUCCCUGAGCACUUUCGAGCGUGUUGUGUGUGUGUGUUUGCUGGUGAGAGCCGAAGCGCU
rnacentral:lncRNA from 1 species